CAUCCAAGAAAAAUAUUGAGUCGUCUGCAAACAGUAGGUGAGGCUAUUUAUUUGAUUAGCAUCAGAAGCAACGAUUACCUAGAUGCCGAUUUAUCGCAAUCUCACUCUGUUUGAGUCCUAUUCAAUGGAAGAUUAUGUAGGGAUGGUGAUUGGAAACAUCACCAAUUCACCAGCUUGCUCAAGGAUAUUUAUGAAAUUGAAGGGAGGAAAUUUGGAAUGAUUGGGAUGCGAAAUAUUUGAUGUAUUCCAUCCACGAGACAAUCAACCGGGAAUGGUUCUUACUCGAGCAUUGCCAAUGAGCUCGCAAAGCUUCACAACAGAACUCUCAUAUAAAUUCUCACGAAGCUGGAGACUCAACUACAAGGAUUCAAGUGCUCCUACUUUGACUUCUACACUUCAGCCCGGGAUAGAAUCCGAAACCCAUCGAAACAUGGUCAGUAAUACAAGUCUUUCUGACCUUCAUUAUGCUUACAUAUUUAUACAGACAGUGAAAAGUCGAGGGAUCUUUUCUUCUAAAAUUAAUUUCAGGGUUCAGGGAGGCGAAAAUGGCAUGCCGUGGUUCGGGCCCGUAUAAGGCGAAUCCAAGUUGCAGAGGCAAGAGAUGAGUGAAAGAAUAUUCAUUGUGCCGUCGUCCCGAAAGGUUCUUAUUCUUCGAUAACCAACCGACCGAAAGGGCCAAUAACUAGUUUGCCCAAUUGAUGUGGAACGAAAGUUCAAGUAUCAUUGGGCCUUGUAAUAUAAAAGCAUUGAUCGAAAUUGGGCAAAAAUUAGAGAAAAUGACACAAAUGUUCUUUAAA